rnacentral:rRNA from 1 species
CCUACGGGAGGCUGCAGUGAGGAAUAUUGGUCAAUGGUCGGGAGCCUGAACCAGCCAAGUCGCGUGAGGGAUGACGGCCCUAUGGGUUGUAAACCUCUUUUGCCGGGGAGCAAAGUGCGGCACGUGUCCGCUUUUGAGUGUACCCGGAGAAAAAGCAUCGGCUAACUCCGUGCCAGCAGCCGCGGUAAUACGGAGGAUGCGAGCGUUAUCCGGAUUUAUUGGGUUUAAAGGGUGCGUAGGCGGACUGUUAAGUCAGCGGUAAAAGUGCGGGGCUCAACCUCGUCGAGCCGUUGAAACUGGGAGCCUGGAGUGGGCGAGAAGUACGCGGAAUGCGUGGUGUAGCGGUGAAAUGCAUAGAUAUCACGCAGAACUCCGAUUGCGAAGGCAGCGUACCGGCGCCCAACUGACGCUGAAGCACGAAGGCGUGGGUAUCGAACAGGAUUAGAUACCCCUGUAGUC